UAAAGGAUUAAAAUGUCGUACUAAGAAAACUCCUUUUUUUUUAAUUUAGCAAUUAACUAAUGGAGCCUAGAUGCAUACAAGAUAUUAUCCUCCAACAGAAUCCUUCCACUGAUGCUCCUACAUGUCCAGCAAUAGCAUUUACACUUCCAAAAUGGUGCUGAAAGACAUAAAAGAAACUUAAUGAAAAUGUCCUUCAGAAUGCAUGAAGUGAAAUAUUCAGAGCACUCCACUUGUGAAUCUAUGCUCGUCAUCUCACAGUAUCUGCCAAACUAUUUCAAAGACCUGGUCAGAGUUUCAGAACUAGUAACACUACCUGAAAAUGAAUGUUGGAGCCAGAUAAGAAACUAUAGGCUGCUUUCAAGAAGGUUACAAGAAAACUGCAUCUUGCAUUACUAAUCCUUUAUCUUCAUGUUAACAAAAAGAUUACUGACACAUUUUUGAAUGAAAGAAAAUAAAACAGCAAAUGCAUCUUAGAAAAUGUUUAAC
rnacentral:lncRNA from 1 species